rnacentral:rRNA from 1 species
GGCGGACGGGUGAGUAAUAUAUAGGUAAUGUGCCUUGAAGAAGGGGAUAACAGUUGGAAACGACUGCUAAGACCCUAUAUGCCUUUAAAACAAAAGUUUGCAAGGGAAAUAUUUAUAGCUUCAAGAUCGGCCUGUACAGUAUCAGUUAGUUGGUGAGGUAAUGGCUCACCAAGACAAUGACGCUUAACUGGUUUGAGAGGAUGAUCAGUCACACUGGAACUGAGACACGGUCCAGACUCCUACGGGAGGCAGCAGUGGGGAAUAUUGCACAAUGGGGGAAACCCUGAUGCAGCAACGCCGCGUGGAGGAUGACACAUUUCGGUGCGUAAACUCCUUUUAUAUAGGAAGAUAAUGACGGUACUAUAUGAAUAAGCGCCGGCUAACUCCGUGCCAGCAGCCGCGGUAAUACGGAGGGCGCAAGCGUUACUCGGAAUCACUGGGCGUAAAGAGCGUGUAGGCGGAUAGAUAAGUUGGGAGUGAAAUCCUAUGGCUCAACCAUAGAACUGCUUCCAAAACUGUCUAUCUAGAGUAUGGGAGAGGUAGAUGGAAUUUCUGGUGUAGGGGUAAAAUCCGUAGAGAUCAGAAGGAAUACCGAUUGCGAAGGCGAUCUACUGGAACAUUACUGACGCUGAGACGCGAGAGCGUGGGGAGCAAACAGGAUUAGAUACCCUGGUAGUCCACGCCCUAAACGAUGUACACUAGUUGUUGUGAGGCUAGACCUUGCAGUAAUGCAGUUAACACAUUAAGUGUACC